GCGGGUAUGGUGGAAAUGGUAGACUCGGAGGAUUUAGGUUCCUCUGCCGUGAGGCGUGUGGGUUCGAGUCCCACUACCCGUACCA
rnacentral:tRNA from 3 species